rnacentral:hammerhead_ribozyme from 1 species
AUCCGGCUGACGAGUCCUGAAUAGGACGAUACGCGAGUCCUGGAU